AAGGAGCAGUUGGCAGGCCGUCUCGGUUCCGAGGGGCAUGGUCGGUGGCCAUCAUUGACGGCGAAUGUUCGUCAGGUGGCUGCUCAUAGAUGUGGAGCACUGGCUACUCAGCUCACCGCCUGUGUGAGCCGGCAAGUACCGCCCUUAGGGUACUGGGAACCACGGGUACUGGCAACUACGGGAUUGGGGACCCAGAAACGGGUUUCACCCGAAGGGUGGGCCGGUUUCGGUGGGGCCCGGUUGUUUUUUGAGAACUGCACAGUGGACGAAACAUUUUGGGUAAGUAUUAAAUCCCGAAGGUUGUUCCCUUUUCGGAAGUAAGGCUUUUGGGGUUAAGUUCGUUAAAUCUGCGAUUUGUUUUGAUCGUUUGGU
rnacentral:misc_RNA from 1 species